rnacentral:lncRNA from 1 species
AAGUACCAACAUUUUCAAUAUGUUUCCAGUUUCAUCUGGGUAGAAUUUUUUUUGUGUAUGGCGUUGGCCCCUGAACAAGUGAUGCUCUUUACCAAUCAGCUUCUUCUAUCAAUUCAACAAUGACUUUCUGGAAGUAAGUCCUAUUGAAUUCCAAUUGCAAACUCACUUUGUAAUUGAUGACUCGUGAGUAGCUCCAGCAUUUGGUUUUGGCUUCAGUAGUGC